UUGAACGCUGGCGGCAGGCUUAACACAUGCAAGUCGAACGAAGUGUUGGUGCUUGCACUAACGCUUAGUGGCGAACGGGUGAGUAAUACUUGGGAAUCUGCCUUGUAGCGGGGGAUAACGUUUCGAAAGGAACGCUAAUACCGCAUACGUCCUACGGGAGAAAGGAGGGGAUCUUCAGACCUUCCACUAUAAGAUGAGCCCAAGCGAGAUUAGCUAGUUGGUAAGGUAAAGGCUUACCAAGGCGACGAUCUCUAGCUGGUCUGAGAGGAUGAUCAGCCACACUGGGACUGAGACACGGCCCAGACUCCUACGGGAGGCAGCAGUGGGGAAUAUUGGACAAUGGGCGAAAGCCUGAUCCAGCCAUGCCGCGUGUGUGAAGAAGGCCUUAGGGUUGUAAAGCACUUUAAGCGAGGAGGAAUGGCUCUGGGUUAAUACCCUUGAGCAGUGACGUUACUCGCAGAAUAAGCACCGGCUAACUCUGU
rnacentral:rRNA from 1 species